AUGCAUGUCUAAGUACAAGCCUAAGCACGGCGAAACCGCGAAUGGCUCAUUAAAUCAGUUAUGGUUCCUUAGAUCGUGUUCUUUCCUACUUGGAUAACUGUAGUAAUUCUAGAGCUAAUACAUGCCUCGAAGCUCCGACCUCUUGAUUGAGGAAAGAGCGCUUUUAUUAGACCAAAACCAGUCGGCGUUCGGGGGCAACUCCGGCGUCGUCUACCCCAUUGGUGACUCUGGAUAACUUUGGGCUGAUCGCACGGCCUCCGCGCCGGCGACGUAUCUUUCAAAUGUCUGCCCUAUCAAGUUUCGACGGUCGGUGACUUGCCAACCGUGCUGGUGACGGGUAGCGGGGAAUCAGGGUUCGAUUCCGGAGAGGGAGCAUGAGA
rnacentral:rRNA from 1 species